rnacentral:lncRNA from 1 species
AGUGAGACCUGAUCACCAACUAGCAACACAGAAACUACUCUCAGCAGAGUCACUCCUUAAGGACUCAUGAGUUUAAAGAUGCAUUUCAAUAGGCUAUCCUUCUCACUGGGAGGGAUAAUACAUUCCUAGGAAAAAGAAACAUGAAACUGAGUCUCAUAGGCAUCAAGUGAAUUGAUGAGGCCGCAACACCAGCAAGGAGCAAGUUCCCCUGCUUCUCCAGGC